GCAUGCACCACCACUGCCCAGCUACAAAGUUCAACUCUUACCCAGUUUACUUUUCUGAAGGAACUUCUGAGAACCCUCCCCAGAGUAGGGAACUACAGCUGGGAGGUGGUAUUGGGAGGGGUCAGUAGAGCAUUCAUCUGGCUUCUCUGCUUUGCCUGUGUGCCUUGGUUUCUUCUUCCCUUUCUUUACUCCCUUCAGGAAUUUCUAAAAUUUUUUCCUGUUUCUCUCCUGAGGGUAAAAUCUGGUUUGUCCUCUUCUGACUCUUUGCUUGACCAGUUCAAACAGAAUCAGUGGCAGCCUCUACUCCAUUUUACGCAGAACUCCCCAUGAAUGUAUAUUUAAGCUUUUGUAAAUCCAGCACUGGAGUGGGAUACAGUGCCUGGGUGAACUUAUUACAUGGCAUUUCAAGGCCAAGUCUAUGUCAUGGUAACUUUUAGAACAUCUGGCUUAUGUGAGCAUCAUUUAGGACUAAUGCAUUCUGCAGUACAAACAGUCCAAAUGGGGUGUCACAGGCCUUAAAUCAUUGACCUGUCUCUGUGACCCUCCCCCUCCCCCCCCAGUGUGGCCCUAGAUGACUGCUAGGAUUACAGCUCUUCCACAGUUUCCUGUUGCUCUUAAAUUCUUUAAAAUUCUGUUAAGGUAUAAAGAUGCUACUGAAUUCAGGCCUAAUUUGUCUUCAAGAAAGAGAAUCAGAGGUAACGCUUUAUUUUCAUCAAGGAAUCUUGUUUAUCUCUGAUGGAUCUGAUGAAUCAAGAGAUUUAAGAGUGACAGGAGGGAUGGGCCUUUGACUAAAUGACAUUAGCAGUGCAGUGAACACUUGGACCAAGCCCUCUACCAUUCUGACACUCUGUUGGGAAAUCCUGUUGACUCUGUUCCCUCCCCACCUGGCAGAUUCUCUAGACCUUGAACUGUACUUUCAGGUACAGGACCUCUGCCUCACUCUAGACUGAGUCAUGUCUACUGUCUUGUAAUAAUGAUGUAGGUUCCACUUCUUUCUGAGCAUUUGAUUCCCUGUGACAAUAUCAUUGGUUUUCACAGUAAACCUCUGGAUUCUGUUCCAGCCAAAGUACCCUUUAUGCUAACUUGUGUAGGAUGUUGAGUACUGGUCUGUUGCCCAGUUUCAUGGGUCAGAUGGGUGACAUCAGUACCAUCUCCUUUUCUUUCAUUUCUCUUCUGUAAUUCUCCAUGCUUUGGUUCAUCUGUCCAUUUUACUGGAAUUGGUUGGCUCUGCUUUAAUUCAAGCCUGAAGAAAAACUUAUAAAUUACGUUCACUAUUUCUAAGGAAUUCAUCCACUCGUGGAAACAUUUAUAAAUCUGGGGAAAAGCUUCAAAAUUCAUUGCUGCCCAGGGCUCUGGUAGAAAAUUUAAUUAACAAUAAAGAUGAUAAUAGUGACUUUUAAUGUUUCAGUGUAUUUUAUUUUUUAUCUAGUAGUUUUUCAAAAUAUGUCAAUACCUUUAAUCCAUGCCAUCUAUUGCUUCAGCUGUAUUCUAAACAAUCUCCCUUUUUGUGUGGAAUUAUAUUCUAGCAAAGUUAGCAACCACAUACAAGUGAAUCAAAACUGGAAUGAGAGCUCACUGUUGCUAGAGAGAUUGAAGGAGAGCUUCUGGUCUCAGAGAAGUCAGUGAAGGGCUUGUGCACAGUAUUUGAGCUAGGACCUUAGUUAACUGAAGGGGUCAGCUAUGCAGAGAGCAAAGAACAUUUGAGGCACAGGAAACAGUAGAUACAAAUGUCUUAAGGGUGGACCCCUUUGGUUAUGCUCCAAGGAACAGCAAACAACUGGAAUAGAAAUGUGGUCUUUCCUUCUAGCCCCCAAG
rnacentral:lncRNA from 1 species